CAGCUUCCUAAAUCAAGCCAAAACCUUGCAAUAGAUAUGUCAUCUCAAGAAUCAAGUCUACACGUGAAUUUCGAUCACGUCAAGCAACUGUUUGUGUAUGGCAGGUUUAGCUUCGGAAAGUUCUCAAUUUAAAGCUAAGCAGUAUGACACUAAGAUGAAUGAAUUGCUGGCAUUAUUUUCAUCCAAAUUGAAUAGGCUGCAUUAUUCUAUGUCAAAAUUGGUGAAGAAUUGGUGAAGAAUAACACUGUCAGGAAUUUGUGGAAAGUGCACAUGUUAAUAUUAUGCACUUUAGAACAAAUUA